AGUGAACGCUGGCGGUAGGCCUAACACAUGCAAGUCGAACGGCAGCACAGUAAGAGCUUGCUCUUACGGGUGGCGAGUGGCGGACGGGUGAGGAAUACAUCGGAAUCUACUUUUUCGUGGGGGAUAACGUAGGGAAACUUACGCUAAUACCGCAUACGACCUACGGGUGAAAGCAGGGGAUCUUCGGACCUUGCGCGAUUGAAUGAGCCGAUGUCGGAUUAGCUAGUUGGCGGGGUAAAGGCCCACCAAGGCAACGAUCCGUAGCCGGUCUGAGAGGAUGAUCGGCCACACUGGAACUGAGACACGGUCCAGACUACUACGGGAGGCAGCAGUAGGGAAUCUUCCGCGAUGGGCGAAAGCCUGACGGAGCAACGCCGCGUGAAUGAUGAAGGUCAUCGGAUCGUAAAACUCUGUUAUUAGGGAAGAACAAAUGUGUAAGUAACUAUGCACGUCUUGACGGUACCUAAUCAGAAAGCCACGGCUAACUACGUG
rnacentral:rRNA from 1 species